rnacentral:tRNA from 1 species
GCCUUGGCGCAAUGGUAGCGCGUUGGUUUUCGGCACCAAAGGUUGUGGGUUCGGUAAGCUUUGUCCCACUCUUCAUGAACCG